GAUGAACGCUGGCGGCGUGCCUAAUACAUGCAAGUCGAACGAGUUCUCGUUGAUGAUCGGUGCUUGCACCGAGAUUCAACAUGGAACGAGUGGCGGACGGGUGAGUAACACGUGGGUAACCUGCCCUUAAGUGGGGGAUAACAUUUGGAAACAGAUGCUAAUACCGCAUAGAUCCAAGAACCGCAUGGUUCUUGGCUGAAAGAUGGCGUAAGCUAUCGCUUUUGGAUGGACCCGCGGCGUAUUAGCUAGUUGGUGAGGUAAUGGCUCACCAAGGCGAUGAUACGUAGCCGAACUGAGAGGUUGAUCGGCCACAUUGGGACUGAGACACGGCCCAAACUCCUACGGGAGGCAGCAGUAGGGAAUCUUCCACAAUGGACGCAAGUCUGAUGGAGCAACGCCGCGCGAGUGAAGAAGGCUUUCGGGUCGUAAAACUCUGUUGUUGGAGAAGAAUGGUCGGCAGAGUAACUGUUGUCGGCGUGACGGUAUCCAACCAGAAAGCCACGGCUAACUACGUGCCAGCAGCCGCGGUAAUACGUAGGUGGCAAGCGUUAUCCGGAUUUAUUGGGCGUAAAGCGAGCGCAGGCGGUUUUUUAAGUCUGAUGUGAAAGCCCUCGGCUUAACCGAGGAAGCGCAUCGGAAACUGGGAAACUUGAGUGCAGAAGAGGACAGUGGAACUCCAUGUGUAGCGGUGAAAUGCGUAGAUAUAUGGAAGAACACCAGUGGCGAAGGCGGCUGUCUGGUCUGUAACUGACGCUGAGGCUCGAAAGCAUGGGUAGCGAACAGGAUUAGAUACCCUGGUAGUCCAUGCCGUAAACGAUGAAUGCUAGGUGUUGGAGGGUUUCCGCCCUUCAGUGCCGCAGCUAACGCAUUAAGCAUUCCGCCUGGGGAGUACGACCGCAAGGUUGAAACUCAAAGGAAUUGACGGGGGCCCGCACAAGCGGUGGAGCAUGUGGUUUAAUUCGAAGCAACGCGAAGAACCUUACCAGGUCUUGACAUCUUUUGAUCACCUGAGAGAUCAGGUUUCCCCUUCGGGGGCAAAAUGACAGGUGGUGCAUGGUUGUCGUCAGCUCGUGUCGUGAGAUGUUGGGUUGAGUCCCGCAACGAGCGCAACCCUUAUGACUAGUUGCCAGCAUUUAGUUGGGCACUCUAGUAAGACUGCCGGUGACAAACCGGAGGAAGGUGGGGAUGACGUCAAAUCAUCAUGCCCCUUAUGACCUGGGCUACACACGUGCUACAAUGGAUGGUACAACGAGUUGCGAGACCGCGAGGUCAAGCUAAUCUCUUAAAGCCAUUCUCAGUUCGGACUGUAGGCUGCAACUCGCCUACACGAAGUCGGAAUCGCUAGUAAUCGCGGAUCAGCACGCCGCGGUGAAUACGUUCCCGGGCCUUGUACACACCGCCCGUCACACCAUGAGAGUUUGUAACACCCGAAGCCGGUGGCGUAACCCUUUUAGGGAGCGAGCCGUCUAAGGUGGGACAAAUGAUUAAGGUG
rnacentral:rRNA from 2 species